AUCCUUCGGUUCAUGAGCAUGAUGAUUGUGUGUUCAUGCCGUGUGCAUGAGAUGUGCCUCCCUCCAAUCUUAUUACUAAGGCACAUUACCCAUCUGAUG
ensembl:snoRNA